rnacentral:tRNA from 1 species
CAAGGAAUAGUUUAAUAAGAAUACCAGCUUUGGGAGUUGGUGGUGGAGUUUUGUUUUCUUCCUUGA